rnacentral:rRNA from 2 species
UAAGGUGAUUAUAGCGACGGGGCUCACCUCUUACCAUUCCGAACAGAGUAGUUAAGCCCGUUAGCGCCGAUGGUACUGCAUCCGUGGGAGAGUAGGUCGUUGCCUUUU